AAGCAGCUCUGGAUAAAGUGGUGAGAAAGCACAUGCAGCGAGCUGUCAUUGCUUUGCCUCUUGAGUAUGGCUGAUUGCAUGGGGCCAUCCCCACCUGGGGCAAGGAGCAGCCCUAAGCACCCAUCAGCUAGAUGUGCUGCUCUUAAUUAACCCUGAUUAAUUACCAGGUGGGAACACGUCCUCCCCUGUGCACUGAGAGCAGCACAACCAACCUGCAGUUAAACACUGACGAGUUGCCUCCUGACAGUGGAUUUCCUGGAAUCCUUUCAGCUAAGGUCAUCCUUUCGGAUGUGCUACAGAGCUGAUUUGAACACCCACUGGGAAAGGUUCUUUUUCAGCCUUUUGUUGCCACGGAUGGGUCAGCAUGACAUAUUCCUGUUGUGCACGUGGGCUGGUAGCUCCAGCUGGAGGGCCAUGUGGCACUGAGCGUGCCAUGCGAAGUGCUGCCCUGGGGGAUUGCCUUCCCACUGAUUCCUCUCCUUGAAUUGCUCCUCGAGCCACGGAAACAGCUCUUACUCCAUCUUCUUAAUACCUGUGCUUUAUUCCUUCCCAUUAUUGACUGGAUCAGCAGCUCUUUGAAAGUAGAAGUGGCCCAAGCGCUUUGCUCUCAGCUCUCACAGUUCCAGUAGGUUUGUGUGAUGAAGACUCAACCAGGGCCCAACGUGACAUCAUUCAACCCUCUUUCGGCAGCGGCACCUCUAUUUCUCACUCGGUACUCAAGAUGCCCAACAGUUCCUCCACCGUCACACGCUGUAUCUCAAGGCUUUAUGGCACUCCAUUUUUGAGCCAAGAGGUUUUGACGCCACAGGAGACGUCACCUCCUGCCUGAGGCCAGAUUUUGACCAUAAAAGGGAAGGAUGGAAUGUUGGGCGACAGCCCCGAUUGGCUGAGCACCUUCUCGUGAUGGUUUCGGGGGAAAUAACCAGGUUGGAGUCAUUUUCCUCUCCCCUCCCGUCCCGAGUCAAGAAUGAAAACAAUGCGACCAAACCGUGUGGUUCACCAUUGAAACCAAGGCAGGACUUUUUGUGUCUGUGCCUCCUACUGUUCUUGGUUCCACCUGCAUGAAACCGAGCCCUCGCUUCUGUGUGUCCCAUCCAACAUCUCUGUGGCCACCGUUGGUUGAUGCUAUCUUGGAGGUGAAUGGGAGUGAUUCGGUGGCCACGUUGGCCAGGAACCCACAACUGCCUCCUGCCAACCUGACAGCCUUCUGCUGGGAGAACCCAAGAACCUCCUUCUUGUGGUUGCGUAUCCUAUAUCCAAAACCUGGCAGAACAAAGUGCCUUUGUGCUUGGACACCCCUCCCACCCAGCUGCAUUGUGGCUGCCCUCAUUAGAUCAUUUCUGCGGCUAAAAUAGGACUUCACUCU